GCUCGCGUGGGCUCUGGCGCGAUCUUUCCCCUUAAAACCACGCCACACUACCAUCCGAUAAUGGACCCAAGUUUGCGUAUAUAUACACCGUUUGAUCUGUAGCAAGUCAAAUCAGUUCUCUCAAGUGUCAAGCUUUUGCAUUUUCCGCAGUUUCCCAAAAAACCAAAACCAAUCACCAUGUACGGACAAGAGAAGAACGUCAUUGACAUCGUCGCCCUGAACGGCAAAGAGCGCAACGCCAUGGACAUUGUCUCCCUCAACGGAAAAGAGCGCGUCGCUUUCGAAGUCAUCGCUCUCAACGGCAAAGAACGCAACGCUGUCGACAUCGUCUCCCUCAACGGAAAGGAACGCGUUGCUUUCGAUGUUGUCACCCUCAACGGAAAGGAGAGGACAUCCUUCGACAUCAUCUCCUUAUAAGCUCCUCACCGAAGCCUCUCAUCUGAAAUAAACCGCAGAUGGAAGGAUUUUCGGACAAAGACAGAAGAAUGAUGAAUAUCUGAGUAUUCUGUCCUCAAGACUUUUAGGCUCAACAUCGAUACAGCAACAAUUGCUGUUCGUGUAAUCAAAAUUUAUCCCGAAUAAAAUAAAAGCAAAAAUA